CUCGUAGUUGAAUCUUGAAUGUUCAUCAAGUUUGGUUUACAUUUUUAUGUAUAACUACUUGAUUGCAUUCUUCCUACUAGUAAUUCGAUACUGUACUUAAUUGUAUGGUAUAGUGGUUCUUCGGGAUCAUCGUUAUAGUGGAGUUGCUCCUCAAAUAAUUGGAUUGGUGUAAAAGUCAUGAAGAUUAUUUAGGGGAAUCAGUAAAUCUAUUAUAAUGGAAUUCUAGUUCAUUUACUUUGAGAAAAUUAGAGUGUUUAAGGCAGCCUCUUGGGGCACUGAAUAUAUUAGCAUGGGAUAAUAAAAUAGGAUUCAUAUCAUAAAUUUGUUGGUUUGAAUGAUGUAAAUAAUGAUUAAUAGGGACAGUUGGGGGUAUUUAUAUUGGAUGGUUAGCGGUGAAAUGCAUGGAUCCAUUCAAGAUAAACUAAAGCGAAAGCAUUUACCAAGGAUGUUUUCAUUAAUCAAGAACGAAGGUUAAGGGAUCGAAGAUGAUUAGAUACCGUCGUAGUCUUAACAGUAAACUAUGCCGACUAGGGAUAUGAGAUGUUAUAAACAUGUAACAGUGUUUAACUUCUUCUUGUGAACCUUGUGAGAAAUCAUAAGUUUUUGGGUUCUGGGGGGAGUAUGGUCGCAAGGCUGAAACUUAAAGGAAUUGACGGAGGGGCACCACCAGGAGUGGAGCGUGCGGCUUAAUUUGACUCAACACGGGAAAACUUACCAGGUCCAGACAUUAGAAGGAUUGACAGAUUGAUAGCUCUUUCAUGAUUUAAUGGGUGGUGGUGCAUGGCCGUUCUUAGUUGGUGGAGUGAUUUGUCUGGUUAAUUCCGAUAACGAACGAGACCUUUACCAUACUAAAUAGUAUAAUCUAUCAUUUUUGAUAGAUGUUAAUACUUCUUAGAGGGACUAUUGAUUUUUAAAUCAAAGGAAGUAAAGGCGAUAACAGGUCUGUGAUGCCCUUAGAUGUUCUGGGCUGCACGCGCGCUACAAUGAUAGACUCAACGAGUAUAUAAAUUUAUUAUUGCUUAUCCGGAAGGAUUGGCUAAUCUUAAACGUUUAUCGUGCUUGGGAUAGAUGCUUGCAAUUAUUUAUCUUGAACCAGGAAUUCCUAGUAAUCGUAUAUCAUCAGUGUGCGAUGAUUACGUCCCUGCCCCUUGUACACACCGCCCGUCGCUGCUACCGAUUGGAUGAUCCGGUGAAAUCUUCGGAUAGCGAGAAAUACUUUACUUUGUAAAGUUUCUUGUUAAAAGUUGAUUAAACCUUAUCAUCUAGAGGAAGCAAAAGUCGUAACAAGGUUUCCGUAGGUGAACCUGCGGAAG
rnacentral:rRNA from 1 species